UAACGGACGGGAGCGGGGCCGUUGGUGGGACGUGACAGCCACACACUCAGAUGAAGCAUUCUUGUACCAGUGAAGCUUCUCCAAAUUUAUAAUGAGUAUCAAUACUGAAGUAGACUUUUGUCUCCUCUACUAGCAGUGGUUCGGGCAGUGUUGAGCUCCCAGUCAUAUAAAGGAGUAGAGGCUUCUGCUUUCUCCCCAUCACAGUUGCAUCCAUUCCUUUGCCUGUUACUACAUAUUUUGAGAUACUCUAAUGAAAUUCAAAUAAAUUUAGAGUGCUGCUGGGCAACUGUAUACGUUGUGUAAAAAUACAUUCCUCUGUCGUCUUCUGACCCAGGAGAUACAUCGC
rnacentral:lncRNA from 1 species